GAUGGUUGUAUUGUAUCAGGAAAUGAAGCUACUUGCAGAGGUGGACCAACCGGGCAGCCUGAUUGAUAAUUAUGUGACCCAGCUGAGCUUUGUGUUCUCACGCAAGGCUGCAGGUUUGGUGAGCCUCCAGGCUCACCUGGCAAGGUUCCAGCACCGUCUGAAGGAACAAGUAGGUUCAUCCAAAUGAACCCUUGCUAUUAUCAAGUAGGUUCAUCCAAAUGAACUCUUGCUAUUAUCAAGUAGGUUCCACUAUAUUUUCUGAUAUUUUAUUUCGUUUGGUAGUGGGAUUUUAAACCCCACUCUUGCUACUUAUGUAUCCGUUGGUUUUCUUUUUUAGAAAGGGAAAGAUUUGUGGAGUGGGCAUUAAUAGGCUGUAGUAUGUCAUUAUUGUAGAAAGGGGUUUUCUAUCAUUGUGCUUUGUUUAUGUUUGUGUUGUGUUUGCUUAUUUGUUGUAUCCAUUUGAUAUGCUUUCUUAAUGGGUAUAAUUUGGAUCUCAUGAUUGGAAAGUUGUUCAAUCCGUUAAAUUCAAAGGUGUGCAAACUUCAGAAUGUAGAGGUGUUCAUGUUAUAUAUCUUGGCAUACUGUAUAGAAUUUAGAUCACACGUGAUGCAUUUUUUUCUUCAUUCUAUAUUACCAAGUUAGUUGUAACUGUAGGUUUGUGCCAUCAAAGCUCCUGGUUUUGGAGAAGACAGGAGCAAACUUAGAAGAUCUAGCCAUUCUUACAAUAGGAGAGGUUAUCUCUGAAGAUCAUGCCAUGAACAUGAUUACCUCCAGACCAAGAGUCCAUGAAACUUUGAGGAAGCGCGAUCUUACAAAAGCUCUUGUAAUGAAAGAGCUGGUGUGGUUUGUGCCAUGAUUAGAAGCUUACAAUAGCAUUCAAAAAUGACACUUCUGCAUAGUAAGCAAAUGAAGAAACAUAUUACAAU